GACGAACGCUGGCGGCGUGCUUAACACAUGCAAGUCGAACGGUAAGGCCCCUUCGGGGGUACACGAGUGGCGAACGGGUGAGUAACACGUGGGUAAUCUGCCCUGCACUUCGGGAUAAGCCUGGGAAACCGGGUCUAAUACCGGAUAUGAACUCCUGCCGCAUGGUGGGGGUGGGAAAGUUUUUCGUUGCAGGAUGAGCCCGCGGCCUAUCAGCUUGUUGGUGGGGUCAUGGCCUACCAAGGCGACGACGGGUAGCCGGCCUGAGAGGGUGAUCGGCCACACUGGGACUGAGACACGGCCCAGACUCCUACGGGAGGCAGCAGUGGGGAAUAUUGCACAAUGGGCGAAAGCCUGAUGCAGCGACGCCGCGUGGGGGAUGACGGUCUUCGGAUUGUAAACCCCUUUCAGUAGGGACGAAGCGCAAGUGACGGUACCUGCAGAAGAAGCAUCGGCUAACUACGUGCCAGCAGCCGCGGUAA
rnacentral:rRNA from 1 species